CUGACUGUGACCCUAUGUUCUGUAGCCCGCCAGGUUCCUCUGUCCAUGGCGUUCUCCAGGCAAGAAUACUGUAGUGGGUAGCCAUUUCCUUCUCCAGGGAAUAAUAAACCAGUAACAAUGUGAGAACUGGACCAUAAUGAAGGCUGAACAUCAAAGAACUGAUGUUUUUGAAUUGUGGCGCUGGAGAAGACUCUUGAGAGUCCCGUGAACUGCAAGGAGAUCAAACCAGUCAAUCCUGAAGGAAAUCAACCCUGAAUAUUCAUUGGAAGGACUGAUGCUGAAGCUGAAGCUCCACCUGAUGGGAGGAGUCGACUCAUUGGUAAAGACCCUGAUGCUGGGAAAGAUCGAAGGCAAAAGGAGAAGGAGGCUGCAGAGGAUGAGAUGGUAGGAGCUGGCCAAAAGAGGAAAUUGCAGGAGAUUUGGAAGAUGGAGGAGAAGCAGCAGCCAUCCCCCUCCUUCAUUUAUCUCUACUGUACCCCAUCUGCUGCUGCUGCUGCUGCUGCUGCUAAGUCACUUCAGUCGUGUCCCACUCUGUGCGACCCCAUACCCCAUCUAAACCACAUAUGUUUACUGAAAGCAGUCCUUUCUGUGUUCUGGAUUAUGUACAAAGGCUACAGUUUACCGGAGUAUAACUAACUGGAAAUGGAAAAGGCCCACAGGUAGGAACAACUUUUAUCAGGGAAAAAGGGUUCUAGUUAUUAAUAUAUAAGUUUUCCUUGUAUUGCUAUUUCUUAUCAGUGUUUAUUAGAGCAUUUGAAAGGAUAAUGAUGAAGUUCAUCCUCGUGUACAUCAAAAUCAUUUGUGAGCUCUGAAAAAAUAUGUAUGUAAAAAACUGGUCCCUAUCUGGGACUUUCUGAAUUGGAAUCUCCAGGGAGCAGCUUAAGCAUUUGCUUUUUUAAAAGCUGUGCAAUUUACACCCUGGCUUUUAUGAUGUGGACUUUCUUUGUUCAUAAACCACUUUCCCAUACGGCUCUGCCUAUGUUCUUCUUCUGAUUUUGAUGUAAAACAAUAAAG
ensembl:lncRNA